UCCAGCCAUGCCGCGUGUGUGAAGAAGGCCUUCGGGUUGUAAAGCUCUUUUGUUGAGGAAGAAUGUGUUUGGGUUAAUACCCCAAAUGCUUGACGUUACCCAAACAAAAAGCACCGGCUUACUCCGUGCCAGCAGCCGCGGUAAUA
rnacentral:rRNA from 1 species